UUGGAAAAUCGUAAUCAGAUCAGAAAGUGGUGUUUGAUUUUGCUUCCGCAAAUGGAAACCAAUCUUCUGCGGACAAUUCAAUGGCGUUUGUCGCAUCUGUGCGUGAGUCGAAGGAUUUGGCUUAGCUUUUCGAGGCCACAAGUUUUCGGAUAUUUUCUUAGUUCCAGGCAUCCCAUCCCUCUGGUGCUACCACCGAAUCCAAUGAAGUAUCCUCAAAUAUAACUCUGGAAUAAGGACGAUAAGCUCUCCCCAAAAACACUUGGCCAGCCCCCGUUACAUUGCACUGUUUAAAUAUAAACCCGCUCGAGUCUGCUGCCGAUUCUCGACCUUGUGCGGUAAUGAAUCCUUGGUGCACUUGAGGGAGAGAUGCAACAUUAACAUUUAUCAAGCAGUCCUGCAUUGUCAAAAACAUGCAUUUUUGGUUUCAAGUUGCAGUGUAAGUCUCCCCAAAUUGAAUAAAGAAACGGUAUCGGCAUUUGAAGUUGGCAGAAACAGAACCAUGAAUGGCCUUCUUGCAUCAACUUGGAAAGUUUAUAGAGUACCUUGUAAAUUGAUUGCCCUCUACCAAAGAUGAAGUCUAUGGCACCUUCGAUAUAGCAAUUUUCAAAGAGAUGGCGGCCUUGUACAUCCCAUAAUGUGUCUUGAAACCCCAUGAAUCCGCAGUCGAAAAAUGCCGAUCUGUCACCGAAAAUUCUUGCAGCUACUGCUUGUGUAAUGUAAGUUCCACCACUAUAAUCAUACAGUUGCGGCGCUUCUGCAAGAUUGAAGGAGUUCUGCAUUGCACCACGACAAUAUCUAAUCAAACACAAGCAACAAUUCUAACAAGAUAGACACUGAUCAAUGAUUGAGCAAUGAUUAACUUGCAGCCUAAUUUGCUAUGAAUUUUCAAUGAUGUGAACAUAAAUUCAGUUUAUGUCAAAUCAAGCAAUGGAAGCAACAGCACCUUAAAGGUAAUGCCUCUGGCAACAACGUUAUCAGGAAUUGAAGUAAAUGUAGCACUAAGAUCUGUUCUUUGAUGGUCAUCGAACGUGAUAAUCGUAGUCCUACGAUCACCUCCAUCGAGAAAAAUGUAAGAUGGAACCGAAUCGAUGGCUGCUUGAACGGUCCAGAAAUCGCCCGUGCCAGACUUGUCAACCACAAUGGAGGAUUCAAUUCUUAAAACCUCAGAGUUGCUUGCAUAAGCCACAGCUUCAGAACCAAAAACAGCAGCAUUAGACAGGGUGAAGAGUAAGAGAAAUGGAGGGAGAAGCUGCAUUCUUUCUUACACAGAUGCCAGUUGAAAAUGGUAAGCUCUGAAUUCUCAAGGUGCUGAAGAAGUAAUAGGCCAUAUAUUCACACACAAACACACAUAGAGAGAGAAAAGAGAGAAAUGAAUUCAUAAAUGCAAAUGCUUUUUAGGAUAUUGUUCAUGCAUAAGAAUCCAUUAGAAGAAGAGUUGAUUGCAGUGUCAAAUGAAACAGGAAUGAAAGCUAUGAUCUUGCAAAAAUUCAAGGAGUCAAUAGUUCACUUUGAUUUAGGCAUUUUGCAUUGGUCGUGAUUGUGUUAAUAAACACAUUAAAAACUUUGCCAAAUAUGGAAUGGAAUGCCUGUAUAUGAUCCUA